rnacentral:rRNA from 1 species
ACCCAAGCUACUAAGGGCCAACGGUGAAUGCCUUGGCGACAAGAACCGAUGAAGGACGUGGGAGGCUGCGAUAAGCCACGGGAAGGUGCCGACCUACCGUCGAUCCGUGGAUGUCCGAAUGGGGAAACCCAGCACCCGUAAUGGGGUGCUACUCCUGCCUGAACACAUAGGGCAGCGAGAGGGAACCAGGGGAAUUGAAACAUCUCAGUACCCUGAGGAAAGGAAAGUAAAAACGACUCCGUCAGUAGCGGCGAGCGAACGCGGAGCAGCCCAAACCAGACUGGUGUGAUAGCCCGACGGCGUUGCCAGUCCGGGGUUGUGGGACGUGAUGGAGGAAGCGUCGGAUCCUCACAGAGUUACAAAGCUGCUGGGUAGUGGAAGUGUCUGGAAAGUCACGCCGCAGAGGGUAACGGCCCCGUACACGAAACUCAGCAGCCUCUGAUCAAUGUUCCCAAGUAGUGCCGAAUCCGGGAAAGUCGGCACGAAUCUGCGAGGACCACCUCGUAAGGCUAAGUAUUUCUUGUCGACCGAUAGUGAACUAGUACCGUGAGGGAAAGGUGAAAAGCACCCCGGGAGGGGAGUGAAAUAGUCCCUGAAACCGUUGGUCUACAAGCAGUCAAAGCCGGCUUCGGCCGGCGAUGGCGUGCCUUUUGAAGAAUGAGCCAGCGAGUUGUGGUAUGUGGCGAGGUUAACCCGUGAGGGGUAGCCGGAGCGAAAGCGAGUCUGAAUAGGGCGCAUAGUCGCAUGCUGCAGACCCGAAGCCGGGUGAUCUAUCCAUGGGCAGUGUGAAGCGGGGGUAAGACCCCGUGGAGGCGCGAACCGACCUAGGUUGAAAACUGGGCGGAUGACCUGUGGAUAGGGGUGAAAGGCCAAUCAAACUCGGUGAUAGCUGGUUCUCCACGAAAUGCAUUUAGGUGCAGCGUUGCGUGUUCAUCUAUGGGGGUAGAGCACUGGAUGGGCUAGGGGACCUACAAGUUUACCGAACCCAACCAAACUCCGAAUACCAUAGAUCCAGAGCGCAGCAGUGAGACCCCGGGGGAUGAGCUUCGGGGUCGAGAGGGAAACAGCCCAGACCGUCGGCUAAGGCCCCUAAUUCCAAACUAAGUGGUAAACGAUGUGAGAAUGCGAAGACAGCCAGGAGGUUGGCUUAGAAGCAGCCACCCUUGAAAGAGUGCGUAACAGCUCACUGGUCGAGUGUUCUUGCGCGGACAAUGUAACGGGGCUCAAGUUUGGAGCCGAAGCCACGGGUUCGCACAUCUGUGCGAGCGGUAGCGGAGCGUCGAUCUCGCGGCGAAGCAGUCGGGUGACCGCCUGUGGAGCGGGGUCGAGUGAGAAUGCUGGCAUGAGUAGCGAAAGACGGGUGAGAAACCCGUCCGCCGAAUAUCCAAGGGUUCCUGGGCAAGGCUAAUCCUCCCAGGGUGAGUCGGGAGCUAAGGCGAGGCCGAGAGGCGUAGUCGAUGCACAACCGGUUGAUAUUCCGGUACCACCACGUGCGCGUCCAUUCCAAUCCCUGGUUGCUAAGGGGCUGCUUUCGCUUCGGCCGACUGCGAACCGACCCACCGGGAGGCGGAAAGCCGUAGAGGGACGCAGGAAGGUAAGUGAUCCGGGGCGAUGGUUGUCCCCAGGUAGCGUGUAGGGCGAGGUCUAGGCAAAUCCGGACCUCAUGAAGCCUGAGACGUGAUACGGAGCCGCUUCAGGCGAAGUCACCGAUCCUAUGCUGCCAAGAAAAUCUCAGCGGUGAGUUCACGUGUGUGCCCGUACCCCAAACCAACUCAGGUGGAUAGGUAGAGAAUACCAAGGCGAUUGAGAUAACUCUGGUUAAGGAACUCGGCAAAAUGCAUCCGUAACUUCGGGAGAAGGAUGGCCUCGUUAGGGUGACGGCACUUGCUGCCUGAGCUCGAAGAGGUGGCACAAAAUUGUGGGAAGCGACUGUUUACUAAAAACACAGCAGCGUGCGAAGCCGUAAGGCGCUGUAUACGCUGUGACGCCUGCCCGGUGCUGGAAGGUUACGGGGAAGGGUUAGUCUUCGGACGAAGCUCUGAACCUAAGCCCCAGUAAACGGCGGCCGUAACUAUAACGGUCCUAAGGUAGCGAAAUUCCUUGUCGGGUAAGUUCCGACCUGCACGAAUGGCGUAACGACUUGCCAACUGUCUCAACCAGAGACUCAGCGAAAUUGAAGUACGAGUAAAGAUGCUCGUUAGCUGUAGAAGGACGGAAAGACCCCGUGGACCUUUACUAUAGCUUGAUGUUGGGCUUUGUUAUGCGUUGUGUAGGAUAGGUGGGAGACUAGGAAGCAUUGGCGCCAGUCAGUGUGGAGUCAACCUUGAAAUACCACCCUGCGUAUGACGAGGCUCUAACCUUGACCCGUUAUCCGGGCCGGGAACAGCGUCAGGUGGGUAGUUUGACUGGGGCGGUCGCCUCCCAAAGAGUAACGGAGGCGCCCAAAGGUUCCCUCAGCCUGGUUGGCAAUCAGGCGUCGAGUGCAAUGGCAAAAGGGAGCUUGACUGCGAGACUGACACGUCGAGCAGGAGCGAAAGCUGGGCAUAGUGAUCCGGCGGUUGCGUGUGGAAGCGCCGUCGCUCAACGGAUAAAAGGUACCCCGGGGAUAACAGGCUUAUCUUCCCCAAGAGUCCAUAUCGACGGGAAGGUUUGGCACCUCGAUGUCGGCUCAUCGCAUCCUGGGGCGGUAGCACGUCCCAAGGGUUGGGCUGUUCGCCCAUUAAAGCGGUACGCGAGCUGGGUUUAGAACGUCGUGAGACAGUUCGGUCCCUAUCCUCUACAGCCGAAGGUGGAUUGAGAAAAGCUGUCCCUAGUACGAGAGGACCGGGACGGACGUAGCUCUCGUGUGCCAGUUGUCCUGCCAAGGGCAUGGCUGGUUGGCGACCUACGGAAGGGAUAACCGCUGAAAGCAUCUAAGCGGGAAGCCUUUUUCGAGAUGAGUCCACCCACAGGGUCAACCUGGUAAGGCCCGUGGCAGACGACCACGUUGAUAGGCCGGAUGUGUAAGCACAGUGAUGUGUUGAGCUGACCGGUACUAAUCGGCCGAGGGCUUGGGUUU